CCGACAUGCAAACAUCCUCUGAAAGGCCAAAUACUGCUCAUGACACACAGAGGAGGUUUGCCUUGUGGCUUUGGCUCCAUGCUUCUAACUUCAUUUCUAUGCUAAGAAGCUGCUACUGUUCUGUAAACGGCCUCGGAUCACCCUACCUUCUUGGGGCUCAAACUAUGGCUCUUGCUGCCUCAGGAAAAUCAUGGUGAUCAGUGAUUAUGUUUGUCGUCAUCCCCUGUUGCAGUUAGCACAGUGCAGCUGUGGAAGCUGAUCGUGCAGGGCUGUGGUAAUUGCCGUGGAUUUCUGAGCCGUUCUCCAGCAGGGCCAGCCAGUCCUGAAGGCUGAGUAGAGGCCGGGAUUUGCCCGUCUGCCUGGAAUGUGACCGAGGCUGAAAGCUGACACCAGCUCGGUGGAAAAAGGCUUGUGAGCAAAGGCUGUCUCCAAGACAACAGAGUAUUUUCCCUGUGAUGCAUUUACACAGUGGGGUUAAAGUUCUGUGAAAGCAACAGCUGCUGUAAAAACAUUGUAUUAAAUAUGCUUAGAACUGUAAAACGCGUGCUCCUCGUGUUGCACUGUGCUCGAGAGAUAUGCGGAGACCUGUGGUAUGUCUGAAGGAGAAUUUCUACUCUUUCAAAGGCUGUUUUAAAAACACCAUACUACACUUCCAACUUUUUCUUGCUGAGAGAGUUUCUUUUUAGGACCGUUUUUCUCUAAAGUUGACUUUCAAGUUAAAACUGGAUGACUGAAA